AAUAAAAAAUUUGUAUCUCUCGUCCUCGAGACGGUGAGGUCCUGGGUUUCGUGACGGAGGCCGACGCGACGAGGUCCUGGGUUUCGCGACGGAGGCCGACGCGACGAGGUCCUGGGUUUCCGACGGAGGCCGACGCGACGAGGUCCUGGGUUUUGCGAAGGCGGCUGGGCUGCGUGACGAGGCUGGGCUGGUUGUGGGACGUUGAUGGCCAGUGGGUUGGCCAUUUGAUGCUGGCGACGAAGGCCGGCGAGGUCUGGGUUUCACGCGGCGGAGGCCGACGAGGACUGAUGGCGGGUUCACCAACACCACCUCAACCACCGGCGAGAUUCAGGCCGGCAAAGGGCGAGGUUAGCGGGAAUCUGUAUGUUGCCAACUGUGGGCCGGCAGUAGGAGUUUCGUUUGCAGACAUCAAAGAGGUGUUUGGUGCAUUUGGAGAUGUCGAGGGUGUCUAUUCAGCCGACGACUCUGGCGUCCAUGUUGUUGUUUGCUUUUCCCAUCACUCCUCCGCUCAAGCUGCUUUCCAAGCACUCAACGCUCGCCCUUGUCCCAACCUCCAUGGCCGCACUUUGCACAUUCGUUAUUCCCUUGUCCAACCUCCUCUCCAGAGAGAGCCGAAUAAUGUUGUUCCGGUGUCUUUGAACGCUUUGGAGUUGAACAUUCCUGGGCUUUACUUGGUGCAUGAUUUUGUCAGCCUUCAAGAAGAGCAGGAGUUGCUUGCAGCGGUUGAUGAAAGACCUUGGAAACAUCUAGCGAAAAGAAGGGUCCAACAUUAUGGUUAUGAAUUUUGCUAUCAGACAAGGAAUGUCAAUUCAAAACAGCAGUUAGGUGAACUUCCCUCAUUUGUUUCUCCUGUACUGGAGAAAAUGUCCAUGUUCAAAAAGCUUUAUGAAAUAACUGCAGAUGUAGCGUUGGACCAAUUGACGGUUAACGAGUAUCCACCAGGUGUAGGUUUGUCCCCACAUAUAGAUACCCAUUCUGCUUUUGAGGGGUUAAUUUUCAGCCUUUCACUAGCAGGACCUUGCAUCAUGGAGUUCAGGAGAUACAUUGAUGGUGAUUGGCGGCAUACUAAAGCUACACUUAGUACUGAUACGACAACAGAAAAUCCUGAAAACAACUCCAAUUUUCUUAGAAAGGCGAUCCAUCUUCCUCCGCGAUCUAUGCUAUUGUUAUCUGGAGAGGCACGCCACGCAUGGAAUCACUACAUACCACACCAUAAGAUUGAUAUGGUGAACGACACUGUGAUCAGAAGAGGAUCAAGGAGAGUGUCUUUCACAUUUCGUAAGGUUCGAACAACACCUUGCAAAUGUAACUUUCCCGAGUAUUGUGAUUCUCAGAGACAGAAAAAGGGAUAGCGCAAAAGGAUCACGCCCAACUUGUUUUCUGUUGAUCAUGUCAAAUCUUAAACUACUCCCAGCCGAUUGGAGAUCAGCGAAACGCUUGAAGAGCAGUUGCGUCGCAAAUUUCAUUAUCUCAAUUGGCAACGGAGAUCGCCUAAAGAUAUAGUUACAGAAGAGUCCUUGUUACUGGAUUGUGGAUAGUCUCCUGCAUAUACAUUCAUGAUUUUCAAAUCUCCAUCGAAUUGUUUGACGGUCAGCUUCACGUCCUGAACAACCACGCCGAGAAGACCAGCCAAACAUUAGGAAAAUGCGGCGCUCAAGUUGCUAUGGUUUAGAACAUCUGAGAAUGUGCCUCCAUUGCUUUUCUUUGCAAUCUCUUGUAGCACCUAUAUUACAUUUCGAUUGAAUGAUUUAGGACGUACUCAUGAAUUAAUUGGUAAAGUUAUUCAUACAGCUUUUGCUUUAA